rnacentral:lncRNA from 1 species
AUGCAGAAAAGGGAAGAAAGGAAAACACAAGAAAGGCAGAACAAUUCAGGCGAAUCCUGUUGCAACCUCGAUGAUAAACACAUGGAAAAAGCUGUUACUGCUCUGUGGAUUGCUGGAAUUUGGGUAGACAUUAGAAAAAUAAACAAAGCGAUGGCUCCGCACCAGCUCUGUAAAAGCACCGGUACAUUCAAGGAAAGGCAGCAAAACACGGGGCUGAGGAGGCUGCGAGUCACUUUCCCGGCUGCAAUUAACUUAGGUGUGGCGAUCGCAGAUCCGAGGGAGAAGGACGAGGCUGAUUUCGCCCGUCCCCACUUCCCUGGCGCAGCCCCCAGCGCAGGUCCACCGCAGUUCUGA